GAUGCCAGACACUGCGGCCUGCCCCUCAGUUUCCUGUACAGAGCUCAGCUCCUCGAGGAUUGCAAACCCCGAGGACAGCUGAUGAUCUCAUUCUUGGUGUGGAGAACAUCCUUGCUGUUCUCAUUAUGGAAGCAACCUCACCAGCAGGUGGCUCUGACAUCUACGAUUAAACUACUGAAUCAGGAAAAAAGGAAGCAGGACAGAGAAAGGCAAUGACUGGAAAGUUUUACUUCGGGACAACAUCUCUGAAUUAUUCACAUAUAAUGGAAAUGAAUCAUUCUGACUCAUUAAUCAAUGAUGAAAUGAACGACAAGCAACAGAGGAUGACCUGAAACAUUUAUAUUUGGUUUAUAUCAUGUUAGAACGUCUAAUUUAACAGAGAUGUCUCAUGCCCUGGAAGUUCAUACUGCUGCUGGGAAAUCACAGAGCUACGUUGGGAGCAUGUAACAUCCUCUUUUCCAACUCUUCUCACUGAGCAUCUCCCUGGAGGAGGCCAAAGUCAUCUCUCAGACUAAGCUCAGAACUCAGUGAAGCUGUAGUGACAUUGGCAACAACUAUAGCAUCAUACGCAUGGCCUGAAUGAGAGCUGUGAUUGUUAGUGAUGUCCGGGGAUGCUGGCUUAUUAAAAUAAUGUCAGUGGGCUUAUUAACAACAGGAUCUGUUGGGCCUUCAAGUCAUCAAGGCAAGUAUGUUCUUCUUAAAUCAUAUCUAUUGCUUGUUUAUAUGUCAUUGAUUUUGCAAAUGCUUCAUGAAUGGGUCUUUUUUGCAAACUUUAAUGUCUUCCUCUUCAAACAGAAUAGCAACAUUCAAAAUAAUAUUAAAAUGAGAAUCUCUGUCUUGCAUUUCCAGCAAUACUACCACAGGCUUAAAGCAAAAAACAAAAACAAAAACAAAAACAAAACCAACAAUAACAAAUGCUGAAUUCUCUCACAUUUCAUAUUGAGGUUCUAGGUCAUCCACGAAAAAGAACUGGUUGUUGAUCCAGCCAACACUCACCUGCUAGUUAUAAAAGGGAUACACAAUUUUUUCUCCUACAUUUCUUUUCCUUUUUUCUUUUUUUUAUUUUUUUGAGAUGGAGUCUUGCUCUGUCGCCCAGGCUGGAGUGCAGUGGCACCAUCUCAGCUCACUGCAAGCUCCGCCUCCCGGGUUCACGCCAUUCUCCUGCCUCAGCUUCCCGAGUAGCUGGGACUACAGGCGCCUGCCACCAAGACCGGCUAAUUUUUUGUAUUUUUAGUAGAGAUGGGGUUUCACCAUGUUAGCCAGGAUGGUCUCGAUCUCCUGACCUCGCGAUCCACCCGCCUCGGCCUCCCAAAGUGCUGGGAUCACAGGCAUAAGCCACCAUGCCCGGCCGUUCCCCUAUAUUUCAUCAACACCUUGCAGAAAGGAAAAGUGUUGCUUACCCUCAUCUCCAGCCUAGUGAGAAGCGUACUGGGUGGGAUCUUCUCAGUACAUUUGUUUGGUGGAGUUUGAGGGUAAUAAACAUGUGAAUGGUGACUUUAAAGUUCCAAUUCUGGUCACAUGCCUCUGUCAAUACAUAAAGGCUGCCAACUCCUUACAUCUUAUCAUCACCAACUUGUUACGGGUUGCUGGUUUACAAAUCCACAAAACCUGUGGCGAGUUAGGGAAGGUGGGCCGCAGAGCCAACAUGUGCACUAAUCAUAUCUAAAGUCAAUAUAGAUUAGGGUUGGCUAAUUUGAAUAUAUCCAAUCCUAGCCAGGAUGUGAACAACAAGACCCAUGGGGGUAUCAAUAACAGAGAAGCUCCUCAUACAGAGAAUAAGAACCACAGGUAUGCAUAGCUUGAUGGGACUUGCUGUCAACACAAGGGAGUGUGUGUUACACCUCUGCUUGCCUGAAGCUGGUUGGCCAAGUUGCCAGCCAGAAGUCCUGGACCUCCCUUAUACAAAACCCUUGCACAAGGUCCAAUCCACAGUGAUGGCCUUGGCAGAUACAAGGGAGGGAGGAAAUGUCCAUACCUACUGAUGCUCACCUACUGUGCUGGUCCAUCAGUCACCAACUAAGGUGACUAAGGCCCCACAGAGAUGAAGGCACUGUGGCUUCUACUCCACCCCAAAU
rnacentral:lncRNA from 1 species